CGUGAGGUGCGAGCGUUAUCCGGAUUCAUUGGGCGUAAAGAGUUGCGUAGGCGGAUCUGCGCAUUUUGUUUAAAAGCCCGUGGCUCAACCACGGUUUUGGGCAAAAUAUGGCAGAUCUAGUAGGAUGGAGAGGGUACUGGAACUUAUGGUGUAGCAGUGAAAUGCGUUGAUAUCAUAAGGAACACCGAAGGCGUAGGCAGGUACCUGGCCAUCUCUGGACGCUGAGGCACGAAAGCUAGGGGAGCGAAGCAGAUUAGAGACCUGCGUAGUCCUAGCCGUAAACGAUGGAUGCUAGUUACCCGGGGUUUCCUGGGUGACGUAAGGUAACCCGUUAAGCAUCCCGCCUGGGGAUACGAGCGCAAGCUUA
rnacentral:rRNA from 1 species